UUGUGUUUCUGUGGUUACGGUUUGCGGAACGGCUGCGUGCUUGUGAUUUGUUCUUGCAUAACUUUUAUUGACUGAAACGAAAGGCAUCGCUUAUUUAGCAGACCGGGGCUUCUUAAUAAUGCAACGUUAUGCACAUAGAUUGAAUCAGCUUUCAAAUGCAACACAAGGACUCUCAUCAAUGGAAAGUGAUGGCUGGAAAACAGAGGACAGAGAUUAUCCUUAUUCAGCCCAUGAUAACAAGGCUACAUUACAAAGCAGCAUUGAAGCAUAUGACAAUGGACUGGGCCGCAAGAAGUUCCUGGGUGAGAAGAGACAGCAUAACUCCCAUUUCUGCU